GGCACACACGCGCGCGCACCGCCGCUCUCCGUCAGACACACUGGAGGGAAAGGUCAAACUAAAGGCGAGGGAGCCGGGAGGCCGGAGGGAGCCGCCGCCGCACGCCAUGACGGACUCGGCCGAGGCGGGUUUCUCGCCGCCGACGCCGCCGAGCCGCUGCUCCCGCCGCGCCCCCGACCCCCCCUUAGCGCCCCGCGCCCCCUCCCCCGGGGCUCGCGCGUCCCCGCGCCCUCUCCUCCCCGCUGCGCUCCGGGCGCGCGUCGGGCCCCGGGCGCGCGCCGGCUGGAGCGGGCGCGGGCGGGUGGGAGGCCCCGCGGCCUCCGCGCCAAGACCCCCCCGACCCCCUCGGCUGGUCCCUCGGCCGGAGCCCGCCAGUUUUGCAGAUUGAAAAACUGGUUCUGAGUAAAGAAACUUAAAGUCACACAGCCAGUACAUCAGUGGAAGUGCAAAGAUUUGACUGAGCAGGUGAGUAGGGACACAAUGUAAGCAGACUGUAUGGAAGAUAAUGACUGGGAGAGUCAUUCAUACCUCUUGUUCUUAGAAGAGGAUUCUUUUUCUCAAAUAGAGCUUUAAGUAGAUUUAUUAUUAGAAAAGUUUGAAAAAUUGAAAACAGUAUUUAAAACUCGAUAGAUGUACAUGGAUCAUCUCUGAAGAUUGAAACAGCUUUGACAUUAAGACAUGCACAGUGAGACGUAUGACAUCCACUUGUGUUUCGCGUGUAGCGAUAUGUCUGGUACAUAAGUGUGUGGAUAUUUACUCUGUGUGACUAAGGUUCACAGUUAGGGUCUUAGAUCCUUAUUUGCUGAAAUCUCCUUUUGCUUGUAAGUUGAGGCCCAAGUUGGCAAUUUUCCUUCCAAGUGUGGAUUUUGAAAAUAAAGUCGACUUGUUGAAAUGUGACCUGCCUCAUCAUGAUGCAUUCAUAUCCAGGAUUAUGGGAAAUUUUCAGUGUCGUAGUUUGGCUGAUGGUAUCCAUGAACCAUGGAAAGCACUCUCUAAGUGAGUUAAGUGGACUAAGUGAGUUAUUAGUUUUGUUUUGGGUGCAGUUCAUGGUGUUUAAGUCUAUAAAGCAGAGUUUGGAGCCUUUUGCAUCCUGUUGGCUGAAGAGACUCUGCCUUUCAGCACUUACCCAAGCGCUGUGGAACCACGGACCUGCUCAGCUUAUCCUGAUUCAAGUGGUCUAAAUGCUCAGGGUCGGCGCUGUGAUGACUGAUUUUGCCCCGUUUAUGACCUGGGACCUUCGGUGGAUGGUAUUUUGAGAAUCUAAAAAGAUCCUUAAAAAUCAUGAGACUCUAAAAAGCUGGCUGCCAUCAUCAGCUCACUGUCAGUGGUCAGCGAAUUUUAUUUUUAAAAAAUACAGGGAAUUCCCUGGUAGUCCAGCGGUCAGGAAUUUGAGCGCCCGCUGCGGGAGGAACGGAUCUGAUCCUUGGCCAGGGAACUGGGAUCCUACAUGCCGUGUGGUGCAGCCAGAAAAUUUUGAAAACUUUUUAAAAAUUAAAAAACUACAAACUUGUGACUGCCCUAUAGUUUAAUACAGUGAUCGUUUUGUCCGAAACACUGCCCUCCCUGCCUCCCCCUGGUAGUUUUUUGUUUGUGGUGUUUGCCUGUGCUUCACGGCGUGUGGAACCUCGUUCCCUGACCAGGGAGCCAGCGUGCACCGCCUGCGUUGCAUGUGCAGAGUCUUAACCACUGGACCUCCAGGUCUCUCCCCUCCGGGUUUGAGGCAUUCCUGGGCACGCUUUUUUUUUUCGAGUAAGUACAUAACAACUCAGUGGUUAUAUGUAGAUAUAUGGCACCCCCCUCGUGGAAAGCUUUCUUUGUUCACAACAAUAGUGGAGAAAAUGCAUAAUUACCCUGAAAUGGUGAACUAAAUUAGCCAUUAACACUUCCUGGGAUUUCAAUGUAACCUUCUUUCUCCACCCAAAAGACAACAUGCGUUCAGUCCAUAAUAUCACUGAUCCAUUUUUUUCCCCUCCCCCCCUUUUUUCCAUUUUUUAUGUGAAUAGUUUUUGGGGCUUUGAUCUGUAAUGGCGAUUAGGGUAACAGAUUAGUCCUUGCCUGCCCAGGACUGUCUGGGUAUUAAAACUGAUAGUCCCUUUCAGUUCCAGACGAGCCCUAACACAGGGCUGUGUUGUCAAUGGGCUUUGGCCAUGUUAUUGGAACUGUGAUACCACCUGGAUCAGUGGUUAGGAGAAUUUAGUGUGCCUCAGAACAACUUGGAAGGCUUGUAAAACACUGAUUUCUGCGUCUGAUUCCCCCUAAUUCCUGAUCCAGUGGGGUUGGGGUAGAAGCCUGAGAACUACUUUUCUUACAGUGUCAUGGGUAGUACUGAUGCUGCUGGUUUGGGGUUGAGCCAUGUAUAUACCGUGUGAGUAUAUGAUGAUGUUUUAUUAAGCUUUGUGGAGAAAGGAACUGGCUCUCUGCCUUGCAAGCCUAAGCACUGCCUACCCCAAACGGUGUUUGUGUGUCUGAGCAGUGAUCAUGCAGUGGCAAAAAACAACCCAUCCUGUUAAAAGUGACAGAAAUGGGGGAAAAGUUAAAAAAAAAAAAAGAUUAAAACCGGUCAUUUUUACACAAACAUGUAUCUGUAUAUACACACACAUACAUAUUUUAUAGUAAGUUUUCUAGGUAAACUUUCAUUUGAUAAUCCAUUUGAAUCUCAUAAAGUAUCUGACAUGGGUAGUUGCUUCCAGAGAACAUGUAAUUCAUUAUUAUAGCAGAACCGAUGUAAGCUGAGUGGAGUAGAGAUGAUGAUACCCACCCUGCCUGCCCCUCGGAGCUCACCAUGAAAACCCACAGGGAGGUGUGAGCACGCCAUGCAGACGUCAGAUGUCACGGUGACGAUUUCCAUGCUUUUCAAUGCUCUGCUCUUCACCGUCUCACUGGUUGUCUGGUGUUCAGUUUGCCAGGCUGGUCUUUCCUCACAGGUGGUCACCUUGUAGAUGGUUCCUUGAGAGAGGCUCACAGUCAGACCACCUGUCCAGUUUGUACCGUCUUCCUCACCUGUAGACACCUGCUGUACUAACCUCAGGACUCUAGUUAUACGGCUAACUUGAGAAAUCAUAUGAAAGCACGUUCAAGCCUCUGUUCCCAACAGCAGUUGGCAAUAAUGAGUAAGUCAUAAAUAAGCCUCAUAGAACAAGAAGCAUAUUGUUUUGUACUAAUGCCAGGAGUAAGAACGGUUGCUCUCAAAUAUGAAAUAGAUUUGUGUCAAGUAUGGAAGUCGUUAUGCACACCAAAACGUGUUCAUCUUUAGCCUCAGCUGUACCUUCAUUAGAUUCAACCUGCUUACUCUGUUUUUAAUGAUGAAUACAAGAGCGAAAAGAACAUUUGUGAAAUACAGGUUACAUAUUGUAAUUGCAAUUUGUGUCUAGAUACUUUAUUAGAAUAUUCAUAAUUGAUUUUAUUAAAACAUACUUAAUUAUUCAACUUCCAUACAUUUAGUUUUCAACUGUCUUCAAGAACACAUCAUAAACAAAUUACAGCAUUUGACAAAAUCCCUAACAACACUGAAGAAAAGAUUUUAUAUAUUAUAUGUGAGAAUUAAAUAUAGUAGCUCUGAUAAAGAUGUCAGUGUUUUGAUCAACCUUUAAAAAAGAAAAACAGGGAAAUUGUUUGAAGGAGAGACUUGCAAUCGCUGGUUCAUUGCAACUCAGUAUGCAGCAUCCUAAUUAGUCAAGUAUUGUGUGCCUACCUGGGCAUGAAAUAACUUUUUUUUCCUAAUUUAAAUCUGGAAAUUUUCAAUUGUAGAACAGCUUGAAUACCCUUUGUUGGAAAUAGCCACUGGGUUCUUUUAAGUAUUUGUCUUCAGAAACAAUGAAGGUCGUCUUGUAUCCAUAGAGACCACAUGCACUUUCCUCAUUAUUUCUAGCAUUGUUUCUGUAAUGGGUAGUUAUUUAUGACAUUUAAAGCAAAAAAAAAAAAAAAUGCAGAAAGCAACAUUAAAUAUUACCACAGUAAAUAUCAGUGACCGAAAUCACUUACUCCAUAGUUUCUCAAAGAAAUUAGAAAUUAGAAAAUCAGUAGCCUUUCAAAAUUGUGUGUAUUGAUGUGUUCAGUAGGGUGUCUGUCUGUGUAUGUGUGUUCAUUUCUUGGAAAUCACUGAAACUUAAUUGUAUACUCUAAUUGUUUUAACUGGGUUUUUUUUUUUUUUUAAAGAAACAGUAACUUCACGUACUUUAGAUGAAAGCAACUCUUGGUUUUGGUGGCAUGCCGAUUUUUUUAUAUGUCACCUAAUCUUCCUUCUGUCUUUCAGGAAAGUAGUGUGGUAACAAAACGAUUUUAGCCUAUCACUGCUUUAUAAACAAAGCCAAGGUCAGGAGUUCAUUUGCUUAUUACCUACCUUGCUUUGUUAUCUCCAUGGACUGUAUGUGCAUCUCUAACCUAACUCAGCUGGGGACGGGCAAAGAAAGUAUUAGAGUCUUAGUACAGAUCCACUGCCAGUGAAACCCACUGUAUUAGUGACCUAGAUUAGGAUGCUUUUGUUAAUGGAAGAGUCACGUUUAAUGAUAGCAUCAGGGCAGCAGGCAUACCUUCAGACUGUUUCAGGCAAAUGUAUGGUCUCUCUGAUUAUUCGGAUUGUCAUUCUGGUGUGUUUAUUAUUAAUUCUGAAACUCUGGGUUACGGGAGAGAAAACUUCAUUUUUUGCACAUAUCAAAUAGAAAGUGUAUCUUCGUAUAGAAUAACUGGGUCUUUAAUGUUACUUUAAUGUUUUUAAUGUAUCUUUAAUGUUACUAAUUUGCCAAGAUAACUUUACAAUGCAUAUUGUCUUUUGUAAUAAUUAGGAAAAAUUGCUGUUGAUAAACCACUUAUCUCUUGCUAAUGAAUUUCAUUAAUCAUAUCAUUUUUUUGUCCCAAAAUGUCACAGAUAGCGUUCAGGACUAAAAGGCCUAACAAGCAUUUAGAGAUGGUGACCAGCAAUACUUGUGUCGAUGCCCUCUGUUAACUUGUGCAGAAAGUCUGUUGUUGUAAACAUCCCCGACUGGAAGCUGUACCACACAGCUAAGCUUUCAGUCAGAUGUUUGCUGCUACCGGCUAUUCACAGACGUCAUUUCAGUGAAGUUACAUCUUAAGAGGUAGAAUUGUGGCGGGGGGGAACGUGCCUGUAAAGUGUGUGGAUGAACACCAGGAAUCUUUGGGGUUCUGCCUUCACUGCGCUCUGUGUGAAUGCAUGUUUCAUGCCGAGUAGUGUGGGAUGCUCUCUUCAAAACAGGAUAUCCUGGAGCGGAUGCCAGCCGAGCUUCCAGACUUAAAGAUGCUGCUGCUGCUGGGCCUUAGAGAAUUCUGUUAAAAAAAAUUUUUUUUUUUCCACUAUGGAUUCUUAUUUCUGAUUUUUACCCUGUCAGUGAACUCACAUUCUUUAUUGCCUUUCCAAGUAGGCUAGAGUUUGACUUCCCAGCAGUUCAGAAGACCGAUUUCCUCCUUUAGAAAUUCUGUAGACGUUCUUGAGAGUAAAUUUAUCACCACCGCCCCACCCUACCGCCCAGCAGUAUAUAACCUAGAAAUUUUCAGUUUUCUCUGUAGUGAAGAAAUGUGUGUAUAAACUUUGUCUCUCGCCUCUCAACAACCCCCCACCCCAGCUUCCUGUUCUCCACCCUGAGUGAUGUCACAGCUCCUAGUCAGAACUGUCCUCUAAAAACUUUUGCAGGACCUCAAACUUCUGAGCCUUUUUACAGCAUUCACCGUUGGUUAUAUUUGUCUCAGUUUAUUGAGUAUGUUUUCCUGCGUAUUCUCAGGUCAUCACUUGGCUUUUCUCUUUCUUAUUCGCAUGUUGAUGCCUUGUGAGCAGAUGCACUGAGUCUAUUUUUUUGGGUUUCCCCACAGAGCUGAAGAAUACAGGGCUUUUCUCACAGCCGGCAUUCAAUGCAGACUGUUGGUAAUGUAUAAUUUUACAACAGCUCUUUCUCCACGUUUUGAAAAUUUGCUUUCUUACCUCUAUUUGUCUUGUAGACACUGGAAAACAUUUCUGUUUUGUUGAAACCUUUCUCUUCAGUAAAGCUUUAGUAUUUUUAUCAUGUAUUAAUAUUAAACUGCUGAACAUAUUACUGUAUAGGGCUCAGGGCAUAAUUAAACCAAAAGGUAAAGCCCUUGGUAACUUUUUACGUGCACAUCUUUCUGAGGGGAGGACAUCAUAUCCUUAUGAUUAUCCGUUUUCCUGGCCAUCAGCACCAAGUAGGGCACCUUGCGUGCACAGGGCUGCACCAGCGGUUUUGUUUUGCUGCAGGGGCUACUGUGUCCUUUCUGCAGAGGAGCAGGUGACAGUUUGGGGCAUCUUGUAGCUGCCCAGAUGUGUUCCUGCAGCAGCCCCACUUCUUAAACACUCCUUCGCCAGAGUGCUAGUUUACAAGCCUGAUGUGGCCAGCGUGGAGGAGGGGGAGGAGGGUGCUGAGCUGCUUCAGACACAGGUGGCUCUGCAACUUGAAGUAUAAUUUUCAAGCUUGAGGAUUCACUUGCAGCAAGUGUCCCUUCCUGCUGAACUCUUAGUAAAGCAGGUUUCUUAUGUACUCCUUGACCCUCUGAUGUAGGCCUCAGAGUCCAGAUAGCAGCAAACAGAUGGGGCCAUUUGGGCUCUGAGAGCCCGAGGCAUGUCCCCUCAAAGGGUAGAACAAGUCCUCUGCUAACAGGGUUCUGUUAGACAAGGUGACAGUGUUUCCUAUGAAAAGUUGUGUUACACAGCCUUGAGAUUCAGUAAGAUGGAUAGAAACUGCCCAGUUUAAUAAUUUGCCUGGCUGGAUUUGAGAGGCUUGUUAAAAUGAUAGUCCAGAUCUGUGCUAAAAGGAGGAUGCGUGUCUUGCACAAAGCUGUCACGCUCUGCCCAGCCCAGCCCCUCACCCCUGGCUGCAGGAUUAAUGUACAAUCUGUGUUACAUAACAUUUGUUCCAUGUUAUUCUGCCCUGAUGAGGUGAAUCAGAGGCCAUGUCAGCUUUAAUUCUGGAUGCCCUUGCCUCAGUGUACUGGAAUACCACCUUAUGAAAGUCAUCUGCAGAUGACUUCUUUAUGUUUUAAUUUGGAAGAACCACAGACUUCCCAAAUGACCUGCCAAUGUAGCAAUUGACUGUAUAGGAUGCUUUAAAAUGUUUGAGCAUUAGUUUUUGCUAAUAAACCUAUAACAGCUUGUCUCCCCACAUUUUAACUUAGUAUUGAGGAAGAAGUGUGUGGUCUUUAUUGACAGGUCCCAGAAAGCUCAGAAAUUCUUUCCUAAGAAGGUAUUUUGAUUGAAAGUAAAACAUUUUUAGUUGCUGAGUAGUAUUCUGAAAAUGACAGGCUUUUUUUCCUUAGCAUUUGCUUUGAGAUUUCUAAGGGAUUACUUUUUAAAAGCAAAACUGCAAAAUUGUGUCUGCAGGUUCAUUUCCAGUUAGACACAUUUGUGUGCAGAUGUUCCCUGUUGAAGGUACGCUGUUCGACAGGUCCUCAUUGGUCUUGGUGCCGGAAUCCCUUUUACUCUGACUGGCUCCCUCCAUUCCUCUGGAUAAAGCUUUAUUCAUUGAGUGAAUGUACCUCUAUUUGCGGUGGGUAUUCAGGGGAAAAAAAGUUUCAAGUGUGAGUCCGAACUUAAUCACUUUUCAAAACUAUUCUGUUUUAGGUUGUCUCUGCCAGUUUCCGGCCUGGUUCCUUAUGGGUGGACAGUGUGGUGGGUGUUUUGAUGUUGGGUGGGGGUUUUUUUCUUCAUUCUGUAGCAUAUUACAAACUUCCUGACAAUUUGAUGUUCACUGCUCUUUGCUCUGGCUCUCCAGCAUGUUUGGUAACACCGUUAUUAAUGCGUUGGUUUUCAAAUAAUAGCAGGUAUCAGAAUUACUUGGGAGAGAUUGUUAAUUAAAAUACUGAUCGCUGGGCCUUGCGAGACUUUCUCAUUCUCUAGGUCUGCGGUGAUGCUUGCUUUUCCUAAAUGCCCACGUGCUGCCGAUGCUGCUGUCCUAAGUCUAGGCUUCAGAACCAUGGAGCUCAUCUUCCGUUCAUCUCCCGGGUCAGUGGUGGUGGUUGUUCAGUCGUGUCCGGCUCUUUGUGACCCCAUGGACUAUAGCCCACCAGGCUCCUUUCUGUCCAUGGGACUUCCCAGGCAAGAAGACUGGAGUUGAUUACCCUUUCCUUCACCAAGGGAUCUUCCCGACCCAGGGAUCGAACUCAUGUCUCUUGUGUCUCCUGCAUUGACAGGUGGUUCUUUACUACUGAGCCACCUGGGAACCCCUCCCUGUUCAGUAUCCAUGCCCAAUUAGCAACUGAAGAGAAAUGUGCAUACAAUCCCUAACUUAAAAACAUAUAGUAAUCCAAAAAUUUGUUUUGAAAAAGAUUUGUUGGAAAUCUGGGACCCAGACCCACUUUUCUCCCAGAGAAAGCAUCAUAUUCAUUGUCUAGCCCACAAAACCUGUUUGAAUAUAUUUGCAAAGAAAAGCAGAAGGAAAAGUAAUAGUGUUGCUGUGGAAUACUUGAAGCAAAAAAACAGUAUAUUUAGAGGAAAAAAAAUGUGUAUGUUUAAUCUUGAGAACUUGAGAAUUUAAUCAGAACUCCUGAUUUAAUCUUGAAUCAGGAAAAGUGGCCUGAAGAGACAGGAGGCCAGGUAGAGACAGGAGGUUCCCAAAGGUCCUGGAAGGCCUGCGAAAUUCCAGAGAUUACUUUCGAGUUUGCUGGCAAUCGUUCUGUUAUUUAAUUUUACUUCCAAGUUUGAGGAUUUUUCUCUUCUUCGAGGCAAGUGUAUUGAUCGGGCUGCUUUAAGUGCUUUGUAGAGGUAUCAGUGGUAGUAUUUUCUUAAUCAGAGGAAUCCAGAGAGACAACGGAUUCCUGGGAAGCAACUUAGCAACACUUGGGCAGGAGGAGGAGGCCCUGGGUCAGAGUGUGGGAGACGUGUUCCUGAGGUGAACGUCCUGAGGCAGGAGCGUGGGGAGGAGAUGGGGAGAGGCUGGGGGCAAGGAGGCUGCCGCGGGGCCCUGAGCUCCUCACAGGUGUGCUGCUAACUUUGUCUUCGACUCGAAACAGGAAGCUCUUUCCUGAGGAAGAAUGGGUUCCCAAUGUGCCAUCCCGGCCAUCAGGCAGGUUCCUGUAAAGGCAGGCUGGCUUGUUUGGAAGGGAAGGCUGUAAACCCAGCCACAUGUAGGUCUGGAACAUUCAUGAGACGUCUGCUAUAUCACCACCAGUUAUGAGAAGAACAUCAUUUGUGCCUUCUCCCCUGGAUUCUAAACCUUGUCUCAGAAAUACCUCUUGACUGGACUUUUACCUCAUUCAUGUCAAUCUUUGUACCUCCUGUUCUUUUUUCAACAGAUUCUACAAAGUUAUCUUUUUAAAAAAAUCAUAUAAAUUAUUUAUCAUAUAUCCCUUAAUUUAAAUUUGAGUCUCAAGGAAAGCACCGGUGCAAAUACGGUAAAGGAUUGUGUAAGUCCUGCUUUAAACCAAGUUUUCAGUUCAUGUAAACAUCCUACACUCAGCUGUAACACACGAGUCGGCUGGGAGGUGGAUGUUUACUUCAGCUGACUUGGACACUCAACCAUUAACACGGAUAGAGGAUAUGGCAAAAAUAGUACAUAGAGGCUUGAUUUUUUUUUUCUUUUAAUGUAAUUACUGUAAACUUUCAUUACUGUCAUAUCUUUGCAGUUGUAUUGUAUCUCUAACAUGACGUGAGACUCGGGGGUUGGGCAAAGGAAUGCCUCACUGGGGUGGUGGCGUGCCGGCCGUGUGGCGCUCGCGCUGUGCUCCGACAAGCAGGGGCUCUGACAACAGCCCCUGGAGCCGCCUGGGCUGUGCCGGACAGUUUGCUGUGUGAUAGGGAGGAGGGAAAGGCGCUGCUUCACACCUCAGUGCUUUUCUCAUCUGCAAAAUAGGUAUGGUAUCCACUUCACAGGAUCGUUGUAAGGACCGACCUCUGUGAUGAGUGCAUAGUGGUUCAUUAGUCAGUGCCUGUCACGUUAAGUCCUGGUAAAUGCUAACGCGCUAGCUGUUGUUCUGCCAGCUAGAAUGCCUAAUAAUAGUACAUAGCCUAUUUUAAGUGUUCAGUGGAUAAUUGCUGUUCUGUUUAAAGUAGAUCAGACUCAUUUUUAUUUUAGCAAUAAAGACGAUACCAGCUUUCCAAUUUAAUGGAAAUGGUUUGAAAUCACUGUGAUUUAGUGGUAGGGUUUUGAAGCCCAGCUUCUUGAACUCAUAUCCUGGUACUACCGCAUACUAGGUGUGUUACUUUGGGAAAAUUAUUUCUCCAUUUCCUCAAUCUGCUAAAUUGGGAUUCUAAUAGUACCUCCCUAAUAGGAUUGUUAUGAGAUUAAAUGAGUUAACGUAAUAAAUAAGUUAAUAGCAGUCAAGUGUUGUAAUAAUUCCUGGUACACACUAAGCUCCUGAUAAAUGGUAGCUGUUAUUAUUGUUAUUUCAAAAACAUGUUUGUCAUCCUUUUUUUUCGGAGCAUAGUUGUGCCAAACAUUUAUAGAUAAUUUAAAGAUAAGCUAACACCUGAUAAUUAGUCCUAGAUAUAUAUUGUUUGAUUUAAAUGAUACUCUCAUAUUUCAUGCUCUUAUUGAAAACACUCUACUUAAAAUUAACUUUCUAUAACUUUGUUUUUCAGCCCCGUGAAAUCACCUCUGCUUUUCAUUUUUUGAUGAUACAUUCAUAUUCUAUAUAGGUGAAAAACAAAGCAAACAACAGCCACAAAGUCAAAAGUACUGAAGGACAUAUUGUUUUAACAGCUUGGCAAGUAUCCAUAAAUUUAUCUAUGCCUACAUUCAGAAUUAGAGUUCACAUUUGAUGCCCGUACUCAGGAAGAUGUCUAUGUUUAUGAAAAAGUCACGGUUAAAUAAAAAUGUGAAGUCCAGACAGGGAGACUUGUUCUUGAACAGGUGAGUGCUGUCUUUCUAAUUGUAUUCUAUUUGUUCAGUAAACUAAAAUUUUGUUUGUGUUUUUUAAGUUUCUUUUUAUGAAGUGGGUGUUAUUCUGUUAUGUACUUGGAUAUAAAACAUAUUUCAGUGAGUUUCACAUUUUCAUUUGAAACUUGUGAAAUGCUUAAGUUAUUUAAUAAUUUAUAAUACUUCAAGAGAAGUAUCAGUGCAUUAUGGAAGCAUCAUAUAACCUAAGGGUAGUUUUAUGAAAAGUGUUUCUCAUGUUUUCAGAUUAAGCAUAUUUGGAGGUUCCCCAUCAAUUUACCUUUGAACCUCAGUGAAUAAAAUAUAAAAUUUUUCUUUCAUAUUCUCCAAUAUGAAAAAGCAUUCAUUUAGCAUAUCAUUGUGGUUUAGGCUUCCAAACGCCUUAUAGGUUAAAUUCCUAAUUCAUAGUUUUUUAAUUUAUUGCUUUUUUCUCUUGUUUAAUAGUCCUGUGUUCGUUAUCUUUCUAUUACACACUUUUCUGAUUAUAGUAUCAUUUGGGCUAUCAGCUUUGUCUCACUUCAGCACUUAGAAAAAGCUCUAUGUGAAAGUUGAGUUGUAGUUGAGUCAAAAAAAUUUUUUUCACUUUAUCUUGUUUUAGUUAGUACUAUAAAGCACUCUGUAAUACUGAGCUGUCUCCCACAUUUUAGAUAAUACAUGCCUUGAUUUCUUGAAAAACUGUACAUUUAUUAGAAUUUUUUCUGAUGAACAUGUGCUUAUAAGUUUUAAAUGCUACAGAACCUGGAUAAAUGUUAAAAUGUUCCCAUUUUCCCCCAUUAUUUUCCAGUUGUCAUUUUUCAUUUCAUUGAUUGAUAGAGAACAUAAUAUAGUUGGAUUUUUAUAAUAUUUGACAUGUUCUGAAAUUAAACUCCAGCUAUUUUCUAUCAAGUUUGAAGAUUUGUUCUCUCUCCUCAUGAUUAUUUGCUAUGCAUUUGGCUUAAAUUACUUAGCUUCUUCCUGUUUCAUUACAUCUUUCUCAUCCCAUCAGUUCCCAAUAGUAGGAUUUCAUGCUUCCAAACAGAUGUCUCCUAUAGACUUCAGUAGUUGAAAACUGUCACUUAUCAUAGGGAAUCUGAUACACAUGAGUUUGCCUUUUAGUUUAUUCGUUUCAGUUUUUUUAAAAAAGCAGUUUUACCUUUUGAUAAAGGUAAGGUGUUAUGCAGUGGAAAAUAUUAUGCACAAUUAUAAUUAAUUAAAUGAUCUCUUUUUGUUGCUAAUGGCUUGUGAUAUUAAGGUUUGUUUGUUUUUAAACUAAAGAGAUGAUAGUAUCAAAUUCUGGCUUUUUCUGGCUUUCAAUGAAAAGUGGGAUUUAGUUUGUUUUGUUUUUAACUUUUAAGUUACCAGUGCAUUAUGAAACCAAUAGCAGUUUCACUUUUAGGAUUUUUAUAUUUAUAUAAAUUAGGAUUAUUUAUUAAUAUUAGCUUUAACUUCCUUUAACUUUAUGGAAGAGAACCUGUCCUGAGGAUGUUUGUAUAAUUUUAUGCAUAAUAUUCCUGUGAGGCUGAGUAAAACUCUUCCAUCUUAGCAGUAGAACCUGUUCAUCUGCUUAGCUGUCUUUCUUGGGAUUAACCAGAUGCAAUUAUAACUGGCUUUUAAGUGUUCCAACCUUUUCCUUGCUUAUUUCAAAGUGAUUCUUUAGAACUGUUAAGCUAUAUGAUCAGUAUUUGUCCUGCUGUCUAAAGCUACUUAAAUAUAGGAUUGGGGCUGUUGGUUUUUUAAAAGUAGUUUGAAAAAAUUUUUUUGCUACUUGUUCUUCAUGCAACUUUUAUAGGAGUUCAAAUUCCCUGGAAAAAUAAGGGUUUUGUAAGAUUUCUUUGACUGAAGAAGUAUAAAGGUUGCUAAAGGUAUAUAGUUGUCUUAAUAUUGACAUAAAUUUUCCUUAUUCUGUAGGUAUCUCUGAAAAUUAUUGUUUUAGGUAUUCUAUGUAUGUAUAAUAAUCAUUGUUUAAAAUUUUGUAGUAACAUAGUCAGUAGCACAAAAAGAUACCAUAUUAACCAGAAUACUGGGUUAUUUCAAGUAAAGAUAUGACUUUGAAUGAGAAACAGUUUGGGAAAUAGGUACUGGGAAAUCCUGCAUUCUGAGAUAACUUUCUAAAUAUGUGGUCAUUCUGUAUUAUUUAGACUAGAUGUGAAGAGUAUAUAAAAAUAUUCUCUUCACAGUCACAUACCACUGGCCGCCUUUUUCUUACACUCUGCAGUAUUAAUAAUGGUGAUCCUUCCAAGCUCUAGUGUUUUUACACAAUCAUACGUUGGUGAUAUAUGUGGGAUUUAUUAUACCAUGAAAUCAUACCAUAUCUUGUACUUUUUUCCAUGCUUUGGAAAACUUUCCGUAUCUGUGUCUCACGUAUUUUUUUUUAGUUCCGUAUAUAAAUACACCAGAUUCCCUGUUGGUGGAUGCAAAGGUUGCUCCAGUGCUUCUCUGUUGUAGGCUGUCCUGCAAAAUACAGAGUAUUUUGAUGCAUAUUUUGUGUGAUGAUUUCUGCAAGACCAUUUGUAAAGGUAUAAUCGCUGUGUCAGGGAACAUAUCUAUUUGAAAUCCUUACAGGAGCUGCGGAAUUGCUCUCCCAGGGGUCUGUGCCAGGUUAGCCUUCGGCUGGCAGUCUAGUGCUUGUUCCCUUGCACGCUUGCCCCCUCACACGCUUGCCCCCAGGGCAGUACCGUUCUUGUUUGUUUUUUGCUAAUCUGAUGGCUGCAAAAACGUAUCUCUUUAUUUUCAUUCCCUUGUCUAAGAGCAGAGUUAAUAUCUUUUCACAUUUCUGUUGGUUUUCUUUCUUUCAUUUUUAUUUGUUUGAUUGUUCAUCCCCUUAAGCCCAUAUUUCUUUUGAUUUGUUUAUUUGUUCUCAUUGUUUUCUAGGAACGCUAUAUAUUUUGGAUUGGGUUACUAUAUGUGUUGCAAGUACUUCCUCCUAAUCGGUCAUGUGUUUUUUAAAACUUUAUUUUAAACCAUUACAUAAUCUUUGGUAACUUCUGGGUUUUGUUGUCUUAGGAAGGCCCGUUGCACCCUCAGUAUUAUAAAUGCAGUAUUAUUAUGCUGAAUACAUUAUCCUUUAAUCUUUUGAAACUGUAUUUCAUCAAAGCUAAGAAAUACCGUUGUUGAUUUCAUGACCCAGUAUUUUAUAUACUGAGAUAGAGGGGACCAAAUCUUGAGGAAUGCACGGAGUAUUUUCUAAUCGUUUCAAAUUUUAUUUAUAGUUAUGUAAAGAUUUCUUCUAAGACAUUUAUUCUGAUCAAUUUUUUUAAAACUCUCAUAAAAAGGAAUGUCUGUUCUGUCAGUUCUUUAUCUUUGCAUCAGCAAUCCUCAGACCUUGGGUGUUCCCCUCAAUUUGUCCCUCAUUUUAAGACAGCUUUCAUUAUUACUGAGCAUUCAUCAGGCAGUAAUAAUGUAUAUGGAACAGUAUUUUACUAAAUACUUGCAUAAUGUUCUCAUCUAAGCCUUGCAGCAGCCCUUUAAGUGUUAUUAGUGUACUUUACAGUUGAGGAAACUGGGACUCAGAAAAGUUAAGUUGCUUUGUAAUUACAAACAGUUAAAGUGAUGGAGAUUCCUGAGCUCAGAGCAAGCACCCUGGGUACCGUACAUAAGUGGUUCAGAGAUGCAGGCUGUGGGUCUGAGACAUUUGUAGAGAUUGGAAAACUAAAUACAUGGGCGAGAUUGGCCCUCAGGUAUACAGUCAGUCUAGAAUGGAGCACGUAAAGUAUGUGAUUAAAUGUGAGAUUCUAAUUUUCAUACCUUUCAGAACCAGUGUAUGCCGUGCCUCCAGCUAAAUGUUUACUUUUGCCCUUAUUGAUAAGCUUGCUGAUACUCCGGCUCUUGUCAGUUUUCAUAUUGUUAUAGUUCUCGAAUCAGUAGGAUUUAUAACUGGAUCUUCCCUUUAAUGUGGGAAGUAAAUGCAGUGGUACCAGAAAUGUUGCAUAACCACUCUCUCCAUCUGUAUGUUAACCUAAACCAGAACAGGAGAUGAGAAUUGUACACUAGCAUGAGCAAAGUCAUUGCGUUUGAAUCACAGUCAGUCUCAAUAGUCAUCCUCCUUGAACCUUUAAAGUAUAUUUUUAAAACUGCAUACAGAGUUUUAUUAUAACCCUAAGGAAGUUAUUUAAGCUUUUUAUUUCCACACAAGCAUUUAAAGUUUUUGUUUCAAACUGAACAAACAGAAUGAACAGUCCGUACUGUUUGCUUGUGUAUAAAAAAUGAUUGACCAGAUCCCAGGCAUCUCGGACAGGGCAGGUAGAAGAGUCCCAGGGCUCGUGUUAGGAGCACUAACUCAAGUGCCUAGAAAACUUGCUGUCGCCGCGCCAUACAGGGAUUUGUGGCUGUAAGGGCUGGAGGCAGAGCUCUGGGUAGACAGAGUGCAAGUCUCUUCUCCAGUCCUGUGGCUAUCUGGGGUUUAAUCCAUGCCUUGCAGUUACUUCUGUGUGUAACAGGUUGAGUGUGUGAGAAGCAGUGUUCUUAAAAGUUGGCAAACCUGUUUUACUUGUUUUUCAACCUUUGCAGAUCAUUGCUUAUGAAACACUGGUAUUUACAGUAAAUAUCUUAUUUUAGAUGUAGGCCAGCCCCAUCCAACCGUUUGUCCUUCAACAACUUUGCCCUUUGGUAAGUUGGCACGUGGUUUGAGGUGGCCUUUGGUGAUGGAGUGUCUUAAGGGAAAAGCUAAAGGGAAGGAGCUAAAGGGAAAGGCAAGAAGAGAGUAACAUUUCCAGGAGAACGUGAUCAUACCGGGGAUGGACGAGCCCUUGAGAGGAGAAAGGAUUAUCUCUGUCUGUCUUAUGUGACCUUUGGCUAACUCCUGCAGCAUCCUGACUUCAUAGCCUUUUGUGUAAAUGAGAACAUUUGGAUGUUAUACACCCCUUUAUCCCUGUGACUCCAUCUGGUGAUCUCUUUUACUGUGCGUUUGUGUAUGUCAGUAGCUCACAGUGUUAAUAUUUAGCAGGUUGAGUCCUAGAUUAAACCACCUGAAUUCAUCUGUAAAACUUGGUUACCUGUCUCCUAAAUUGUAGCCGUAAUUUAAUUAGAUAAUCCAGAUAGUCCCUUAGUAUGGUAUCUGGCCCAUACUAAGCCCUCAGGAAAUAACUCGCUGUUCAAAACUCUGUUCAGAUGUCCUAAUGUUAGCUGUGUCUUGGGCCUCCCAGGUGAAAGGAGGGAGAGUUCCUCUCGUUGUGCCAUACACACGUCUUCCGCUGUCCUCUCAUUUAGCACCGUGCUAUGGGUGCUAGCAGCGCUGUUGAGCGCUGGUACGAAAAUCGUCACCAGUUUAUCUGCGUGUAGUGCUCCACUUAGAUUAUGAGCCCCUUGAGGACAGAAAUGAGCUUAUUUGUCUUCAUAAAUUCAGUGUCUGGCAUGAUAAAUUUUGUUGGAGGAAAAAAAGUUUAUUCCUGUUUAAAUAAGGUCCCCUCCUCUCUCAGAAGAAGAUAAUGUUGGAACAAAGGUGUUGAGUAGAAAUAUUCUCAAAAAUCCUGGGCAUGGGGACUUCCUUGGUGGUCCAAGGGUUAAGACUCUGUGCUUCCAGUGCAGGGGGCUUGGGUUCGAUCCCUGCUCAGGGAAUUAAAGAGUUUCCAUGCCGUGACUGAAGUUCUCACAUGCUGCUACUAAGACCCAGUGCAGCAAAAUUUAAAAAAAAAAAAAAAAGUUGGGCGUAUUCUCCAAACACCUUUCUUUCUUAUUUUUUUUUUUAAGUUAUUUACCACUGUACUCCCAAGGAUUCAAUCAGUUUUUUUACUUUGCUUCUUCACAGUGUUUUCUUUACAAAAAAACUGAAGUAAGAAAAUGACUGUCUGGUGGAGAAUAAAGCAUCACAAUGGCAGCACAAAAGAGUUGCUCCUGGAAUCAAGGCCCUGGGGUCAUGUUACAGCAUCUGCUACUUUCUCACCACAUGACAGUUGAUUGAAUUAUUGUAUAUGUCUGACUCUACAAAGUGGGCAUGCUUCAGUGACUUGUAAUGGUAGAAAUACAGACUCCGGGAUGUGAAGGGCUAGAGUCCUCUGGUGGUGCUCUGGUCUCUCAAGUCUUCUCUAAGUUCUUAUAACUUAAUCGGAGGUGAUACUCAUACAGUGCCAGCACUGGACCUGCUUACUAGAACACACUCAAUUACCUCAUGAGUGGAGUUAGUUCAGUUCAUACCAUACCCUUGGGGUGGGGGGGGGGGGAAGCCUAUUUAUUUUACCUCAUACACAAUUUUUUAUUGUUAAAGGUGUUUAAAUUAAUUGUACCCUUUGUUCCAUGUUGAAAAACAGAACUAAGAUGUAAGUGGUGAUCAAGUAAUUAUAAUUCCAUCAUGCCGGUGUUGUAGGGAAGAAUGAACAGCAAAGAGCCUACCUGAGGAUUAAGUUGUACGAUAAAAGGUUAAUAUUUUCUCAACACAAACAUACGGGUCUCUCCUUCAUCCUGUAACUCUUACAGUUAAUUUUGGUAACUUGAGACACACACAAAGCAUUAAAGCCAACUAGGUCUUCAUUGAUUGCAUGUCCCUUAGAAAAGAUGGAAGUGUAGGGAAAAUUAUUCUUGGUACUACUGAUACAAAUAAAACCAUUAGGUGCCUUUCAGUGUAGUGCAUAUGGUAUCUGAACCUUUGUCACCUAUGAAAUUUUUGUCCAAAUCACUUCGCAGUUGCCGUGUUUUAAAGGAACCCCUCAAAAUCCCCCACUGGUAAGUUCUCCUUUCCCUGUUUUACUGGUUUUGAACCUCAUACCGUUUUACUAAAUAAACAUUUUCUCCCAACUCUUCA